rnacentral:rRNA from 1 species
UACGUAGGUGGCGAGCGUUGUCCGGAUUUAUUGGGUUUAAAGGGUGCGUAGGCGGCUUUGUAAGUCAGUGGUGAAAUCUCCGUGCUUAACAUGGAAACUGCCAUUGAUACUAUGUUUCUUGAAUUUUCUGGAGGUCAGCGGAAUAUGUCAUGUAGCGGUGAAAUGCUUAGAUAUGACAUAGAACACCAAUUGCGAAGGCAGCUUACUACGCAUAUAUUGACGCUGAGGCACGAAAGCGUGGGGAUCAAACAGG